UGAGUAACCUGCCCUUAACUCUGGGAUAAGCCUAGGAAACUGGGUCUAAUACCGGAUAUGACUCCUCAUCGCAUGGUGGGGGUGGAAAGCUUUAUUGUGGUUUUGGAUGGACUCGCGGCCUAUCAGCUUGUUGGUGAGGUAAUGGCUCACCAAGGCGACGACGGGUAGCCGGCCUGAGAGGGUGACCGGCCACACAGGGACUGAGACACGGCCCAGACUCCUACGGGAGCAG
rnacentral:rRNA from 1 species